GGAAAAGGAGAACCCCAUUCCUCCCUAAGACU
rnacentral:tRNA from 2 species